GAGAAGGAAAAAAACAAAAAAAAAAUGUAAGGACAGAAGCCGAGUGGCUCUCUUGUGCGUGGUGUUCCCAAUCGUCGUCUGCAACACAAAAGCGAUUUUAAUCCAAAUCUCUCCUCUUCUCUUCAUAAAUCUGAAAAUAUGUUCAAGUGGGUGGAGGAGAAGAGCUCGAUUGUGGAGAGGCGGCGGAGGUUCGGUCAAUGGAAUCCAUAAGAAGCGGCCCUAAGUGAGGAGUCGUUGUAUAAGUGCUUCCCUACCAUUCUUGGUGAAGCAUUCCUUGACGGCCGACGGAGAUGUGAGUGGAAGAAUGGGGCGAUAUCCAAAGUGAAGAUAGAGGAUUGGACCAUAUUGAUUGGAAAGACGAUGAAGGGAUUGGUGGAGAGGUUCUUUGAGGUAAUGGAAAUGGCCGACGAUCGAAAGGAAAAUGGGCUUGGUGGUAAGUUCUUAUGCUUUUUCAGUUUAUUUAACAAGAAAUUGACAAAUAUGAAGAGGAAGAAGGAGAAGAGGAUUACAGAGAACCAGAAUUGUUCGAUGCUGAACUCAUGUGCCAAGUCGAAGUGCCAUCCCUCUCAUAGUCCAUGCGUCUCUUUCUCUUCCUCUCUUCCUCUUCAAGUGUUUCUUGAUUCUUUGCUGCUUAACUUUGAAUUACUUCUUUGACAAUCGGAUCAACAUAGCUCAAAUUAUUUUGGGGGGUUGGUUGCUUCCUCAUUGCGGUUUUCUUAGGCACUAGAGUUCACUUCUCCAAUUCGGCUGAUAACAAAGCAAAAUUUCAUAAAUUUUCAGAUGGUUACAAGGAUGGAACAGGGUAUGCUUCUUUUCUAUAGAGAUAUUUUUAUAGAUAGUUAGAAAUUGAAUGAAAAAAAAAAAAAAAGCUUACUUUCAUCAUUAACAUCACCAUUUUAAUUCAUCUAAACCAUGAAAGAGUUCAAAGAACUUGCACUGAACAACGAUUAGUAAGGUUUGGGUUCUUUGAUGUUUUUCUAUUUGAACUCAUCAUCAGAUAGAAGUUGAUACACAUUUUCUAAAAAAUGAACGGAACAGGGGACAUGGAGAAUGGAAAUGUUGAUGUCAAUAAGCCGCACUUUGUUAAACGACUUCCUCCUCUCCAACUCUUAAAACAAUCGAUUGCCUCCUCUCCUCCGAUUCUUGAAAAUUCAAAUCUCUACCAAUCCUCUCUCUUCCUUGCAUAAUACCCCACCUCAUUUUCUAUGCAACCCUCGCCCAUCCAACUUAUCUGAACCAUUUUUCUAAAUCCGCUUCCUUAUAGUGUAUGUUAUUUCAAUCAAACAAAUAAAAAUUAUGUUAAAUUGUUGAGCAGAUCAUGUAGUGGUAGAGAAUUUUACUUGAUGGUUCCUCUCACUUUUGCCUUUUUAUGUAUGUUUACAAAGUUUAGUGCUUAUGUUGGAUUACUCAGCAUUAGAUGGUGAUCAGGUUGAUAACCUCAUUUUGUCCAACAAAAGAGGACAAACAAGAUACAACUACUUAAGGUGGGAGGAACUUGUUGACUUAUCAUUGUUAUUUAAAUUAUCUUUAUUAGUAUUAUUUAGGAUUAAAUUAUCUUUAUUAGUUAAGGUUAAAUUUUUGAUAUGCUUGUGGGCUUACCAAUUUCACCCAUUAUUUCAUUUAUCCUUGUGGUCAAACUAAAUAGGAUUUUACUCCUUUCACCUUUGUACUUAUAGUGCCAUGCUUAUAUCUACAAUGGGGAUAAAGAAAACUUAAGGAGAUGUGAACAAGCUUUCCAAACUCAGGUUGCACCAAGGUGGAAUCUAAUCUGUGACACUUGUUCUCCUGAUUUUUCAAGCAUUACAAAAAAUAGAGGUUAUAGUUUCAAUGUUCAAACGUAAUUUUUCAAUAAAUCGAAGUUUGGAAUCACUUAGUGGUGGUUGAGGAUGCUUUUUGUAUCUUUUUAUUGGGUAGCGUAAUAAAUUCACGUGCUUCCAUUUUCCC